rnacentral:lncRNA from 1 species
AUGGAAAUAAAUAUGAGCUCCACAUCCCAGGAAUCCCAUAUCCUUUGCUUGCAGGAUUGUCCUGGAAACACUAAAAAAGGAUCCUCCAAGCCAUAGUCAGCCUAGGCACACAGUGUGGAUACCUGGUUUCCUGGUCAGUACAUAAUGUGAUGCUCUGCUGCUGAGGUUAAGAGCAGCAGUUCCCCAUACAAAGCCCACGUCUCUGGGAAUGUGAAAGGGACAGGAGGGGAACCCACUCUACUUAGGUAGCUGCUUUUUUUUUUUUUUUUUUUUUUUUUUAAAUAUGGAGCGCUUCAUGAAUUUGCAUGUCAUCCUUGUGCAGGGGCCAUGCUAAUCUUCUCUGUAUUGUUCCAAUUUUAGUAUAUGUGUUGCCGAAGUGAGCACAGGUAGCUGCUUUAAGAGAUUUGAUGUUCGCUGGGCAGUGGUGGUGAACGCCUUUAAUCACAGCACUUGGGAGGCAAAGACAGGUGGAACUCACUUUGUAGACCAGGCUGGAAACUUAGAAAUCCACCUGCCUCUGCCUCCCAAGUGCUGGGGAUCAAAGGCGUGCGCCACCACGCCCGGCUCUCAUGUGAGGUUUAAAUCAAGAUUUUUAUGUAUUUAUUUAUUUUUAUGAUUUCCUCAUGUUUCUUUUCUUCAGUUUUUUUGACCUGGCCAGAAUGAUUUAAUAACAUUGUGAUUUGGUAAAUAGCAUUUGAUUUGCUGAGCAGUAGACAUUGAGAGAAAUGAAAACUGGAUUUCUUAUCUCUCACACAUCAGCAUGUGUGAUAGUCAGGUUUUGCCGAUGCAGAUCUUAGGGCUCAAUGACAAGAGCCAGGCAUUAGAGACUGCUGGGAAAGGGUUACAUGGACAGCAAGCUGCUCCCACUGAGGUCAGGAGAGGAAGCUUCUCAUUUCUGAAGAAGAUGAAUUUUAUAUAAACUUAAUUUACUGUGUGGGAAUUAAGACUGAGUUGUAAAAGAGCCUUUCCUUGAUACAUUUUCAUUUUUCAUAAACAGUGUUAGCGUCUUCUCAGUCCCUUUCACUUAACAGAAGAUGUUUAAUAGAAAGUAUAAAUAAUGAUAAGCUGACCUAACCUGUCAGAAGUAACAGUCUGAGUUAGGGUCAAACAAUCUGUAUUACAACACUGGAUAUCAUUUCUAACAAGUUAGAAUUGCUUCAAAAUUAGCUUUGGGGGCACUGGAGGCUGUAACUCUUGUUCCAGUCAGUAGAGUUCUCAGUCCUAGGCUUUUCCCCCAGCAUUGCUUGUGUCAGGUAAGGUAUGCCUGCCAUCCUAGCAUCCCAGAACUCAGGUCAAGCUCAUCCUUACAUGAGAACCUGUUCAGGGAAAACUAAAGUUUUAAAAAACAUGUUUCAUGAAUAGGGGAAAAUGUACAUGUGUACUUGGGUAUUACAAGUCAUGACUGGUUUUCUGGAAUUGCUAUGGCAUGCUUGUAGGAGUUUCACUGUGGCCAUAUGAAUAGCUCAUACUAAGAACUAACUACCUAAGAAGUUAGUUUUGUGGCUGUUGCUACAGACAUCUUUAGGUUAGUUAGAAUGGUGAUAGUUGAAUCUUCAGAUUAGACUGGGUAAAAGGUCGUGUGCCACUGCUAUUUUUUAAAAGUGAUUUUUUAAACAUUUGGGGAAAGUAGGUUUUACCCAGAUUCUCUUCUGCAUUGCUAAUAAUGCUUUUAGCCGAGGCAGGAAAUGGGAAAGAAUUUGGAGGUCAUUCUAGAGCAUCUGGGAUGAAAGAUGGUACACCAUAGAUGCUGCCAUUGACUGUCCUGCAUCACCCAGUGCUAUCCUAAGUAGAAAUGGUGGAGACAAAGUUCAAGUACACUCAGUAGACUUCUGUGGAAUGCCUGGAAAAACCGCCCUUGGAGCUGAGAGGCCAAAACUCUCUGAAAUAACAGACCAGCGUGACAAAUUUUCCUGACAACUGAUUUUUGUAUCCAAAUAUUAGGAACCCUGUGCUCCCACUGUGGCCUGGGUUUGUAAAAUAUACAUUACCCUUUAGAAUGUCUUUGGAACCAGGGAAGAUGACUCUGUGUCAUGUGUAAGGGUGUUUGCUGAGUUUGAUAGCUCAAACCUAUGUGGUAAAAGUGGUUGAAAGACUGUCCAUUGUUCUCUUACCUACACACCUACUCAUAGCAGAGACAUGGACACACACAC